ACGCUGCCUCAGCGUGGUUUGACGAGCAGUGCCAUGUCCACGCCCAGGAUUUGAACCAACGAAACACUGGGCCGCCUGCAGCGGAGCGCGCGAACUUAACCACUCGGCCACGGGGCCAGCCCCAUCUGAGGAUAUUGUUUUUGAGAGGAGCUAAAAUGGAUUCUGUGUUUGCAACCAAGAAAUCUGACAAAUACAGGAAGGAUGGUUAAGUAAGCAGAGGAAAAAGGUAUGUAUGAAAUAAUGCACUCUUGAGGACCAGAAGCCCUAGGCUGGAGACCACAUGACCUAUUAAACAGAUUCUCUCUUCCCGCCACCAACAGGAAUGCAGCAGCUUCAGCCUAGUCAAGCUGGCUUGUGAUCUAUUUGAAAGGAACACAUUGCAUCUCAGAAAUUUUUGUAAAAGCCUUCUUGCAUCCUACUGGUCCAAACUAAAUGAUAUACUCCUACCUGAACCAAUAGCUUAGGACUUGGGGAAUGUGAUGAUCUAAUUGGCCAAUUCUGAACCACAUGACCACGUCUGGAGCCAAUCAACACCCCUCACUCACAUGGACUGGGAAUGGGGCGGGGUGGUUUACACAUAUAAAAGGAGAGGUUAAAAGAACCACAGGUACCCACCAUGGGAAGUUACUGCCAGAGGGUAUUUAUGGUGUUUUAAAGAAUCUAAGUGAGACACAACUCAAAAAAAAUCAUGCUUAAAAGUGCUGCAAACACUCCAAGUUCCACUUCUUAUUUCUGGCUGGGAGGAGCCUUAUUCUAGGGGCUUCUUGGAGUUACUGGUCAUGAGGGUGACUUGAAUCCUGCUCCCUGAACAGACCUUCCACAUCUUAUGACUCCUAACUUUCUCCAGAGCUCCCACAUUUGUUCCUUUCUUUGAUCUAAAUUUUACAACAUUCUUAUGAGUCAGAGAAGUUAAGUAACGUGCUUCAAGUCACACAGCCAACCCAGAUUUCCUGCCUCCUGGCUUAUAAACAGAGCAGUGGGUCCAACCACUCUGAUCCUGGGGUGCUAACAAGAGAUACUAUGGGAAAGUUAGGGGAAGGGAGAAGCAGGGGUACAGGCGUUUAAGCAUGAAGGAUUAUGGAGGCAGAAGAUAAAGGAGACACAUUGGUCUCUGUGCGCACAAGCUCAGCGUCUAGUGUGGACACAGACGGCAGAGCAGACUCUGAUCGUUCCCUGUGCUUAUGACACAGGUAAGCCCAGAGCCCCCUGGGAGAGCCCGCUGAUUUUGAUGGCAACAGUGUUCUUCAAGAGAAGACAGGAUUGAGCAAGUCUGCCUCUUUAAGGAUCACAUAACCCCCAUUUUAAUUAUUAACUUGCUGCAUUAUUAACUGACCAGCUGUGUGUGGCAGAAAACCAAGGGUCAGAACUCCACAGCAACGAUUCAUUCCUGGGGGAGCCUCCAGGUCAGUGGUCCUGAAACCUUCUUAGGGCACGUCAAGAACCUGAUGGAUGACAGCGACCUUCCUUCGAGAAAAAUCCACGAUUCAUCUGCAGUCUCAGGAUUCAGCGAAGAUUAUGGCUCUAGAUAUUUCCUCCAAUGUCCUGAGGGGCUACUCACUUCAGGCCUAAAGUCGUCCCAGGUCCCCACAUCUUUGCUGAUCUCCUUCUGCAUAAUCACCCAGCUUGGGGAAAGGAGGAGGAGGAAGAGGUUAGGAGGUGGGACUUGACAGCACAGACCUAAAUUAUUUGGGGAAGAGAGGACGACUAAGUUCUCUUCGCUGAAUUGCCUUUCUCAAGGCGCCGGCCAAACAAAGCUCGAAGUGGGUAUUUCCAAGAAUGAAUGUGCCCACGUGCUGUGUUCAUUCAUUCCCAAACUUUAGUCACGUGGCUAUCACCUUCAAGGCUUUUGCUUCAUUCCACCUGCACUGUUACAAUUUUUCUUUAAAACAAUACACUUGAACUUUAAUUUGUUUUAAAAGGAAACUUUCUAUCAGUACCAUAAUGGAGACCCACAAAUACUAUUUGAAUAAAAAAAAAAUGAAACCCUUUAAUAACGUUUAAAACAAUGUUAUUAAAUCCUAGCUAGGCUUGAUAACUGUUCUUAACUCUGAGCCCAGAAGUGUUCUUUCUGUUAGAAAAAGCGGAGGUGGUGAUGGUAGGAUGGGUGGGGAGGGGAACAGCAGUCUAAGAGAGAUGUUAGAGAGACAGUAACAACCAAGUACCCUGGAUGUUAUCAGAGAGAUUGAAAUGAUUGCAAAGGCAAUAACUUUCUCAC